GACGAACCGUGCGAACGUUGUUCGGAUUCACUGGGCUUAAAGGGCGCGUAGGCGGCCUACUAAGUCGAACGUGAAAUCCCCGGGCUUAACCCGGGAACUGCGUCCGAUACUGGUUGGGCUUGAAUCCGGGAGAGGGAUGUGGAAUUCCAGGUGUAGCGGUGAAAUGCGUAGAUAUCAGGAGGAACACCGGUGGCGAAGGCGGCUCUCUGGACGGUGACUGACGCUGAGACGCGAAAGCGUGGGGAGCAAACAGG
rnacentral:rRNA from 1 species